ensembl:lncRNA
AGGAGACCAAACCAGUGAGGACUCCCCACACAUGACCACCAGCUGCCAGUUUAGCUGUGCACUGGGGCAGAGUAGGAGGUGGCUGAGUGUGCCCUACUCAAUCCAGCUUGCUCCUCCUACUUAAGACCAGGAGACCAAAUCGGUGAGGAUCCCCUGGGCAUGCCCACCAGCUGACAGCUUAGCCACAUGGGCACUUGCAAAAACAGCCCCCCGCCCCGUUGGCUGUACAGUUGCUUGGAUCCACACUACAGAGGCACAGAGGGGCAUAAAGUCCACUGUCCUAAGCUGCAGAAGUGAACAACAGAGAGAGGGCCUCUCUCAGGCUCCCUGAUGAAAACUGAAACCCACUGGAAAAGUGAAGAGAAUCUCUACAAUAAAGGCUCACCAGACAACCUUAAUUGGAAGAUCAAGGCAAGCUUCCUGCAUACAGAUGGGUUUCAAAGGAUGAAUAAAAGUUUGCUAUCUUAAAUGAAUAACUGAGGAGACACCAUUUUAGAAAAAGACAGUGGCAUUUGGAAAGACAAGAAGAAAGUUCCUGAUGUAUCUGCAGUAUGGUUUGCUAUGUACGUUUUUUAUCAAGGCAGGACUUGGAGCCACUAUCUUGGAAAAGUCGUCCUUUCUACCUGAACAGAAAUCUUCCUGUGUUAUUCAACAUAGAAACUACAGAGGGUCCUUCUUGCAAUGUGCAAGGCAGAUUCUGGAAAAGAUUUGCCUUUGAAUGAAUUCAUGACUGUCAUAAAAGAAUCACAUUCAUAGAGAUUGCACUAAUUUUCUAGGGCUGUCAUAGCAACAUAAUACAAACUGAGUAUUUAAUACCACAUGGUUCUGGAGAGUAAAAGACUAAGAUCAAAGUACCAACAGGUCUGUGCCCACUCUGAAGGCUCUAGUGUAAGUCUCCUAAUUUACAGUUCUUGCAGCAGCACAACUCCACUCUCCACAUAGCACCUCCCUGAUUGUGUGCAUAUCAGUCUAAAUAGCAAAAAUCACAAAAGAAAAAAGUGGAGGGAUUUGUUUCAUAUGUGUGUACCUUGCUAUCAUUUUAGCUGUUGGAGUGAAAAUAGGAAAUAAAUUCUUGGCCAUAAGGAAAAAAAGGGCAAGAUGGUACCUUCAAAAAACCGAAGGUCUCAGAGGGAAGACAAUUUCUGUAGACAAGAUAUAACAAGAGGAAUGCCAAGAGACAGGCUGAUGGAUGCAUUAGAGAUUUACAAUAUAAUUGACAGGAAAUUAUAGCUUGAGCUGAAAUGACAAGUCAUUAAAUGAAUAGCAGAGAAAAUAAACCAAAAAUGAUAUUCCUUGGAGACAAAUAACCCAGUAGACAUUACCAAGAACUGCUAAGAAAUGUGCAUAUGGGAAAGUAAAAGAGCUUCAAAGCAGCAUUUGUGGUGACAAAUGGUGACAAACAUUGAAGGACACCUUCAACUGGAAAAAGAGAAAGCUAUGCACUUCAGCAUGUUAGGAUGGGGGCACACAAGGAGGUGCACAGCAAAACCUGCCUGGAAGACAAUAGGAGAGCAUGUGGACCAAACAUGAGGACUCACUCUGCUGACACACAAACCUGUGCAGCCUAUGGGGUUUCAUCUGGUUGCCUUGGUAAAACCAAGUUAGUAUUCUAACUCAAAAUACUAACAUUCCACCAUCUUAAACACUCUAACAAACUGCUAAUCAAAUAGAAUUUUUUUUUCUUGUAACAAAUGUAUUCUAAAAUAGCAGGAAAACUUUUGUCAUAUAUAAUUGAUUAAAAACCACAGCAAAUUCUAUCACCAAAAAUUAAGAAUAUACAAUAAGCUGUAAUUUCCUAAACCAUUUUGAUGAGCACGCAUAUGAUAUUUUGCAAAUCAAGAACUGAAAAUCUGGCUGUGUUGCUUCUAUGAAAGACAGCUAAGAACCAAAACAUUCACACAGAAGUCCUUCAAUGAGACCAAAGAGGUGUUGCCAAUGUGUACCAUUAAAUCUGACGUGAUUUCCUCUUAGCAGAGGGUCUCUUAAGUCUGAAUCUGUUUGCACAUAGCCAGAGUAUGUUGGAUUAUCUGGUUUCCCAUCUAGUGUUAGUUGAAGAACAAGUGAUUGAAAGGUCACUGUGUCAGUUCAGGAUGACACAUUAAUAGCUGCAGGAAGUAGCAGCAGACAUAGAAAUGAUGAAAAUAAAACUCAAGAACAUGAGGCACAACAAUGUUCUGAAGAUGUUUAAUAAAGGGAAACAGCUCUAUGCAUCUCAAUUGUUCCCAGAUAAUCUUUGAAUUGCAGUAUUCUGUCAUAACAGAUGACUAUAAUGAUGACCCUGAGCCAUCAAGAAAAAUAUAAAUUUGGUUCCAGAUGCAGCAUUUAAGGUGGCAAGAAAAUGUGCAAUAAAAUUUUAGAAAGAUUUUCAUCCAAAUGAUUAUUUUUUAUUUUAGUGCUUAAAGAAAUGGAGCCUUGCUAUUCAAAAAUAAGCUCUAAAAAUUAUGCAUUCUUUGCAGUAUUCAUAAAACAUCAUAUUCUGCAGUCCUGAUUUGCCUACUAAAUACUAGACUCAUAUUUCAGCAAGUUUCUCAAACAUCUUUGCUUAAUUGUCUCACCCAUUCUUCUUGUUACCAUCCUGAACUGGAGUUAUAUCCAUUCCCAAAAUUUCUCCCACUACCAGUUGAGUGUCACUAUCCAAGCUACUAUCCACAUCAAAAAUCUUGAACCUGAUCUUGAUAAUUCUUUCUGCUUCUCCCUUACAUUUAAUUAAUCAGUCAAUUUUUUUUCUUAGUCUGGAAGUCUGCUUUGUGUCUAUGCACCUCUUUCUUACUCCAGUAUCUUUGUGUGAAUUCACAGUAUUUCAGUAUUUCCAAAAACGCUCUGUUACAGUCACACCAAUCAGACUAUUUUUCAUUUGCAAUGGUUUGGAUCCAUCCCUUCCAAAAUUCAGGUGCUAAAACUUAAUGGUCAAUGUGAUGAUAUCAAGAAUUGGGGUGAUUAAGAGGUGAUUAGGCCAUUAUGACUCCUCCUCCAUAAAUAGUACCAAAGUGCUCAUAAAAGAAGCUUCCUGUAGCAUCUUGCCUUUCUGCCUUCCACUCUGUGAGGACACAGCAGUCCUCUGUCUGGACUAUGCAGUGCCAUCUUGGAAACAGAGAGCAGCCUUCCCCAGACAAGUGAACCUGCUGCUACCUUGAUCUUGGAUUCCCAAGCCUCUAGAAGUGUCAAUAAUAAUAGUCUGUUCUUCAUAGAUUAUUCACUCUCAUGUAUUUUUUUAUACCCACACAAGUAGACUAGGCACCAUUCCAUUUUAUUCUUUGAUGUCUUUCUUCUGGGCUGCUUAGAAUGCACCAAGAGCCCUCUUAUUUAGGUAACUCAUUUCAUAUGCACAUGAAUCUCAUCCUUUCCUACAAGACACUGAAAUAUUUGAGGCUAGGAACCAUUUUUAGGUACUUAACAAAUAUCUCUUGACGUAUUUAUUAAGCAACUAAUAUCUGUCAGACACUUUUCUAGACAGUGGAAUUACAGCAGUAUAUAAGAUAAGCCCUACAUUUUUGGAAAGCACUGUAUGGGGAAUUAAAUUACCUUUAUAGAAUGCUCAAUCAUUACAGUGCUUCUGUAUCUGUUAUGGCUUAUGUCUAGAUGUCCCCCAAAGCCUCAGGCAGGUGGAGCUUUUUCAGAGGUGGUUGGAUCUAGAGUGUGUGACACUGGGAUUGAUUCACUAGGAUCAAGGGCACUAGGAUUAAGGGUGUGAGCGCUACCUACCCUAAGUAGACUGGAUAACAUACAAGGGAUAGAAAGAGCUGUGGUUGUCCCUUGUUGUUUUGUUCCCUUCCGCCCAGCAUGAACUCUUUCCCUUCUUUGAUUCCUGUCUGCUAUUCCACCCUGCCUUGGAGGCAGCCGAUUAAGGACUGAAACCUCUGCAAACUUUGAGCCAAGUAAACCUUUCCCCCUUUAACAGUGGGUGUCAGGUAUUUUGUCUCUGAGAAAAGUAACUAAGACAGUAUGUAUUACUGAUUUUAAUAAACAUGGUGUGUGAGCAAUUUAUAAGGUUAAAUACUUUAUACAUAUCUUUGGAGAAUACAGUUUUUCCCCCACUGAAUCGUGCAGUUUGUCCCACACAACAGAUUUCUCAUAGGUUUCCUUAUAUUAUUGGUAUGAUGACAAAGACAAGUUUCACUGAUGUCAUGGAAUUUUCCCACAUUUGUUUCAGUAAGAUGUGACAGGGGUAUUAAGUUUUUAAACUUGGUUUAGUAUUCUUUCCAUUCCCUCUUCUUGACUGACUGCAUAUUGAUCAGAGAAUAUUUGAUCAAAUAUGAAAAUCUUAAUGCAGAGGAAAGCAAACACUCAGUAAACAGAAACCACCUUUGAGUUUUUGAACUAUGGACAGGUGUCAGCCAAGCCACCUGCAAAAGGAAAACUAUAUGAGUGAGUUAUAGGUGAGAGUCAUAUGGCCUACCUGAAGGGUUGAUUACAAGGGAGUUGAUGAAGGCAUUACUUUUAAAGAAGAAAAGGUCAAAGCGGCCAACAGGAGUCUAUAGAGCAUCAGAGACUGAAUAUAGUGGGAAACUGUUAUCAACUGAAGCUUGAGGGACAGGGGGGAAAAUGAUGUUACUGGCACCCAGAAAAAGUUGUAGCAAAAGAAGAACUGUCACCUAGGAGCAGUAGUCUACACACAAAAAGGAAUAUGCUCACUGUCAAUGCCAUGACCCAGCAGAAGAGUGCAGAUUGAGAAAUAUUAGUAGCCUCCCUCAUCUUUCCUGCUAUCUAUUGCCAGUUAUCCCCAUUAACAGAAUCCAAGUAUAAGCCAGAAAAGUGGGCCAAAGCACUGUACUUCAGGAGGCCAGACUGGCAGAGACCAGGAAGAAAGGGGUAAAGAAUUGACCUGGAAGAAAAAUGACAAUGACCACCAGAGAAACUCAUCUACGUGCUGGAGAAAAGAAGCAUGUCACUCUUCUCUAAUUCUUGGAAUUACUAGGGUCACAGGACUGUGUUAUUUAGUGGCUUCCCACUAAAAUGAAUUGUGUCUGGUUUAUGAUCCUGGGCCUUGGGAUUCACCCAAGCAAUGUUCUGCACUCAACAGCAAGUACUAUAAACAGGCAAACUAAUUUCUCCAAGCCACAAUUCCAUCAUCUGAUAGAUGAGGGAAAUAACAGCAUCUAUCUCAUAGAAUUUUAUAAAGAAUUAAAUGAGACACAGGAAAUUAAGUUCUAGCACAUAGGAUAAGUGUUCAAUGCAUAUGUAUGAUUUUAAUAUCUCAUUAAAAAGAACAGAUACCUCCAAAAAAUCAUUUCCUGAUAGAACAGCUGUAUUAAGUACAAAAAGUAACUUGAAAAUCUAAAGAAUUUAGUUAUUAUGAUAUUAUUUUUAUGAAUUUUUAUUUAUUAGAUCAGGAUUUUUAAUCAUUUCUGUACCAUGACUUUGUCAAGCUAAUGAAACUUGUAAAAAGUAACACUGUAUAUCCUAAGAAUACAGGAGGAUAAUGCAAAAAUACAGAAAUAAAAUUCAUAAGAUUUUAAAUGAAAACAAUUUUGGAAUUUAUAUAUGUAUGCACAAAGUAAUUAGAAAUAUUUAAACAACAAACAUGAUAUUGUAGUGCAUAUUUUCUUAGUAAUACAUUACAAAAUAAAAUCUAGUAUAAUCCACUAAGAAUUUUGAAAUAGCAACAAGAUAAAAUUUCUAGCUAUCAACAAUAAUUAUAAUUAACAUUUCUGUGAUUUUCAUUGAUGCCACAGAUAUGUGUACUACUGCUGGAAUUUGCUGCUUUACAUUCACAAUUGAGGAAAUUAGUGAUUAGAAGGUAGUAAGAUGUUAGUGAAAAUACGAUAGAUCUUUUUCCUACCCAUGCUCUCUAAGCACAUUGUUUUCUUACUAUAAAAUGCUCAGGGUCUGUAGAACCCUGCCAAGAGCCUCACACAAUGUCUAGUGAGCAGUCCACAGUCUAAAUAUUUGUUAAACUAAACACAACAAAGGACAUAUACAUAAGAUACAAAGUAUUAAAAAUUUCUUGCAG